CCUACGGGAGGCAGCAGUGGGGAAUCUUGCGCAAUGGGCGAAAGCCUGACGCAGCCAUGCCGCGUGAAUGAUGAAGGUCUUAGGAUUGUAAAAUUCUUUCACCGGGGACGAUAAUGACGGUACCCGGAGAAGAAGCCCCGGCUAACUUCGUGCCAGCAGCCGCGGUAAUACGAAGGGGGGCUAGCGUUGCUCGGAAUUACUGGGCGUAAAGGGAGCGUAGGCGGAUAGUUUAGUCAGAGGUGAAAGCCCAGGGCUCAACCUUGGAAUUGCCUUUGAUACUGGCUAUCUUGAGUAUGGGAGAGGUUAGCGGAACUCCGAGUGUAGAGGUGAAAUUCGUAGAUAUUCGGAAGAACACCAGUGGCGAAGGCGGCUAACUGGCCCAUUACUGACGCUGAGGCUCGAAAGCGUGGGGAGCAAACAGGAUUAGAUACCCUGGUAGUCCACGCCGUAAACGAUGAGUGCUAGUUGUCGGCAUGCAUGCAUGUCGGUGACGCAGCUAACGCAUUAAGCACUCCGCCUGGGGAGUACGGCCGCAAGAUUAAAACUCAAAGGAAUUGACGG
rnacentral:rRNA from 1 species